rnacentral:rRNA from 1 species
CCUACGGGCGGCAGCAGUGGGGGAUAUUGCACAAUGGGGGGAACCCUGAUGCAGCGACGCCGCGUGGGUGAAGAAGCGCCUCGGCGCGUAAAGCCCUGUCAGCAGGGAAGAAAAUGACGGUACCUGAAGAAGAAGCCACGGCUAACUACGUGCCAGCAGCCGCGGUAAUACGUAGGGGGCAAGCGUUAUCCGGAUUUACUGGGCGGAAAGGGGGCGCAGACGGCGAUGCAAGCCAGGAGUGAAAGCCCGGGGCCCGACCCCGGGACGGCUCUUGGAACUGCGUGGCUGGAGUGCAGGAGGGGCAGGCGGAAUGCCUGGUGUAGCGGUGAAAUGCGUAGAUAUCAGGAGGAACACCGGUGGCGAAGGCGGCCUGCUGGACUGCAACUGACGUUGAGGCCCGAAAGCGUGGGGAGCAAACAGGAUUAGAUACCCCUGUAGUC